rnacentral:ncRNA from 1 species
CCUGGCAUGUACCUGCCAGUUCACUACAUCGGCAUGCGUCGGGGGCCAACCCUGGGGUGUGAAGCCCGAUCGACAACGUCCUACCCCAAAUGGGGGUGCGAUGGCUGGUAACAGCCACGUGCAGCUCCCGAAUUGCACGGGGGCAAGGGG